AGUGUGUGUAACGAGUGUAUUAAUGUGUGUGAGGGAAAUAAAGGGGUGUGAGGUAUGACGGGCCAGCCUGCCGCAGCUCACCCCUGGCCUGUUAAACCUUCCGUCAGACUUAAACUAGGCAGUGGCGGUUAGGUCUGACCAGCGGACAUGAAAGCAUAGUCAUGUGGCUCCAUUCACUGCCACGGGUGACUUAUGGUGACGAGAAAUAAAGUAAAUAUUGGCUAAUAUAUACGGACGUCCGGAUCAUGUCUGCUUAUAUUUUUAAAAAAGUUGAAUUUUGGCGGGUUUUCAUUUCACGGAAGAGUUCAUUUGUUAAUAUUUCGUCAUGCGGGUUACGUUGAAACUAAAUAUUACGAGUAUGACUAAAUAAAAAGCCGAAAUAAUGUAAAAAAAAAAAAAUAAUAAUAAUGAAGGUACCGUGGAUUGGCAACACUUACAAUGUAAACAAACAGCUGAUCACGGGUCCGGAGCGAGGCAAGGAGAUAAAAAUAAUAAUAAACGAAGGAAAUAGAGCAAAUACUCGUAGAAGGACGACAGCAGGCAGAGAGGGGCAGGAGAAGUAGCAGAAUCAGGGAAAGGCGUAUUGGUGCCAGUAAAUAAGGUGGACUUGGAAUCUCUCAGGGGAAACUACAUGUAGUAAUUGAAUUAAAAUGGCUAGAACCAGAGGAUGGGGUUGUGCGUCCCCGGGAGUUCAGAGGGUGCCGGCGCUUCAACUGAUGGUGUGGACCCAUGAGACAGAGGCUCCACCAGGUGGCCAUCAGGGACGUGAGAGGCCUCCAGCAGUAUGCCUGGAGAUACUUGUGUGUGGAUGAGGGACGCAGACUCAAGAACCACAAGUGUAGGCUGACCAAGGUAACAGGGACGUGAGGGGUCUCCAGCAGCAUGCCUGAAGAUACUUGUGUGUGGACGAGGGACACACACUCAAGAACCACAAGUCCCUGAACACCUUUCCCCCCAUGAACUGGCUGCUGUUUACUGGGACACCCUUGCAGAACAGCCUGGCGGAGCUCUGGGCCCUUCUGAACUUCCUAAUGCUGGAUAAUUUUGAGUCCUUGUCCAAUGUGAGUGAGAUGCAGGAGGGAAGUGAGGAGAGGACUCUGAGGCAGGAAUGGGAGGGCCAGGCCAUCUCCACUCUAAUGAAGAUAAGAGAGAGGGAAUGUGGGUGUGUUUGGGAGUGUUUUGGUGGCUUUGGGUAGGUUUGGGUGUGUUUGGGGAGUUUUUUAUGAUUAUUUAAAGAGGUUUUUUUGGGCUGGAGAGGAGUUUUUUUGGGCUGGAGAGGAGUUUUUUGGGCUGGAGGAGAAUUUUUUUGGGUCUGGAGAGGAGCUUUUUGGGCUGGAGAGAAAUGUUUUGGGCUGGAGAGAAGGUUAUGUUUUGGGCUGGAGAGAAGGUUUUGUGGGCUGGAGGGAAGUUUUUUGGGCUGGAGGGAAGUUUUUUGGGCUGGAGAGGAGUUUUUUGGGCUGGAGAGGAUCGUUUCAGGUCAGGUGGUUAAACACUACCGUCUAUCUAGUGGCUAUUGUAGGCUGUAUCUCUCUCUCUCUCUCUCUCUCUCUCUCUCUCUCUCUCUCUCUCUCUCUCUCUCUCUCUCUCUCUCUCUCUCUCUCUGUCUGUCUGUCUGUCUGUCUGUCUGUCUGUCUGUCUGUCUGUCUGUCUGUGUGUCGUAGUCAUGAGUGUUGGUGUAAUUGUUAUUACGAUGUAUUGUGUUGGUGCAGGAUUGUAAGGCGAGAUAGCAAGGUACACACACCACCACCCCUCACACACACACACACACACACACACAGCCCCCCUCCCCCCUUUAUCGUAACGUACAAACAGGACUAAACGUGUUACUAAUGCCAGCAAUGUAAACAAAACCACGUGACUUUGAAAUGUAAACAAAAAAGUCACGUGACCUGGUAAUGUAAACAAAACCACGUGACUUUGAAAUGUAAACAAAAAAAGUCACGUGACCAGAUAAUGUAAACAAAACCACGUGACUGAAAUGUAAACAAAAAAGUCACGUGACCAGAUAAUGUAAACAAACCCACGUGACUGAAAUGUAAACAAAAAAGUCACGUGACCAGAUAAUGUAAACAAAACCACGUGACUUUCAAAUGUAAACAAAAAAGUCACGUGACCAGAUAAUGUAAACAAAACCACGUGACUGAAAUGUAAACAAAAAAGUCACGUGACCAGAUAAUGUAAACAAAACCACGUGACUUUCAAAUGUAAACAAAAAAGUCACGUGACCAGAUAAUGUAAACAAAACCACGUGACUGAAAUGUAAACAAAAAAGUCACGUGACCAGAUAAUGUAAACAAAACCACGUGACUUUCAAAGGUAAACAAAAAAGUCACGUGACCAGAUAAUGUAAACAAAACCACGUGACUUUGAAAUGUAAACACAAGGUCACGUGACUUGCAAAUGUAAACAAAACAGGAAAAAAAACAAACAACCGCCAUCUUGAAAGCAA